UUUACCAUAGCAGUUCCCCUUGCUUAGGUCCAGGUCCGCUGUGAAACACUUGCUGUUUGUGAAACCCCAGGCAUGCAUGCUUCAAGACGGCAGUGAUGUUGAAGACAGCCCACUAAAUCUUGGACUUAUAUGCUAUGUGAUAAAGCCAUGUAGACUAUUCCAAAUUACAAAGGAAUUUCUUGCUUUUUAAAAACUCAGUUUGUUACUCAAUACUCUUUUGCACAGUGAAUUUUAAAUCCAUGUUAUACAAUUACAUAACAAUGAAGAGAGAAGCCAGUUGUUUAAUUGCAGUCACGUUUAUUUGCAGUUUCUAUACACACUUUCUAGGUAAUCAAACUUUUCUGGUACAUUUUUUUGAGAGGGGUUCACAAUGAAAUUGUCACCAUUUUUACUAAAAAUAAAUACAAGACUUAAAGUGUUGCACAGCUCUAAAAUAUACAAAGGCUUGAAUUGAAUGUAAACGUUGAAAACAUCUUACAAAAGAAACCAUUUUUGCAACAAUUUAAAAAGUCCAUAUUUACAAAUAUUACAAAAAUACAAAAUGGAGGCAAGUCCAUAAACCAUUGUCUUUCGGCCAGCAUGAACUGGUUCUAGUACCAAAAGAGUUACACUAUAACCUUCCUCAUAGUUGUAAAUCUUUGUCAUGAUCUAAUUCUCUGAGUCUGCCACCACUGCAGCAUAUGUACUCUCUCACUGAACUUUGGCAAGAGCAAACAGCAUGUUUUUGUUUGCUACAACUAGUCCAUGUCCUCUACUUAGCCAUUCCAAAUUACAAAGGAAUUUCUUGCUUUUUUAAAACUCAGUUUGUUACUCAAUACUCUUUUGCACAGUGAAUUUUAAAUCCAUCUUUAUCUGGGUUUUUUUUUAAAUC
rnacentral:lncRNA from 1 species